AUGGGGGCAGCAAUGGGGUCAUGUGGCCCCUUCGCAGAGUCAGGAGCCUCCACAGUGGGCUUGAAGGACACUCAGGAUUUGGACGAAUGUCUUUCCUCUGUUGCCCCACUCCUCCGCUUUGCUUCCAAGCUUGCAAACACCAGCAUCCAAAACAGAGGCGAGGCCAAACUCUAUCAGUUGAGCCACGACCACCUGUUCCUUGCCCUGGGCAAGGAUGAGGCCACUGUUCUGUUGCAAGUGAAGCCAGAGCUGAGAGGGUUUGCAUCAUCCUUAGCCAGCCCAUUGAGUUCCCACGGAUCUCCAGACCUUGCCCUCAGCCUUCUGGAGCUGCUCCCUGCUACACCCUCUCACCACACCCCCGACCCACUCACUGCCUUUUAUAACACAGCUGUCCUGAGCCCCACAGGGCGAGAGUCGGUGGCCAAGAUGAGCUUCCGGGCAGCCGUAGCACUGAUGAAAGGCCGCUCGAUUAGGGACGGCACCUUGUGCCGGGCUCAGCAUUGAAACUUCACUCCAACCAGCUUUCUGGCAGAGGACACGACUGAUUUCCCUGAUGAGCUGGAUAUAUCCUUCUUUGCCCCGGAAGGUAUCCUCCAUGAAGAGCUGUCCACAUACCUGGACAAAGUUUUCAAGUCCCCAUCGGAGGCAGCACUCAAGGACUGGGAGAAGGCACCGGAGCAGGAGGACCUCACAAGCCCUGGACUGCAGUGAGCUUGAGCACAGCCACCUGAUGCUGCUUCUGGAGCGAGGCUAGCGGAAGCAGGAGGGCGCUACAGCCUCCCAGCCCAAGGUGCGGCUCCAACAGGAGGUGGUGAGCACCGCGGGGCCGCCGCGGGGCCAGCGCAUCACUGUGCCAGUGUGCAAGUUCUUCGCCCGGGAGAAGCAGCUGUAUGGGCUGAGCUCACCAACCGCACCUACCACAAGCACAUCGACAGUUUCAUCAAGCGACAGAUUGAGGACAUGGACAACCACAGGCCCUUCUUCACCUACUGGCUCACCUUCAUGCACUCACUUAUCACCAUUCUAGCCGGGUGCAUCUAUGGCAUCAUGCCUGUGGGCUUCUCACAACAUGAAAUGGUGGACUCAGUGCUGUGGAACCAUGGGGUCUACGAGAACGUCAAGUGCGUGCAGCAGGAGAAUUUCUGGAUCGGGCCCAGCUCGGAGGCCCUCAUCCACCUGGGCGCCAAGUUUUCGCCCUGCGUGUGCCAGGAUCCACAGGUGCACAGCUUCAUUCACUCAGGGUGCGGGCCUGAGUGUGAGAAGCACCCGGCCUGCUGCGUGCACAGUGACAGGUCGGGCUGCCUGCAGACCUCGGAGGAGGAGUGCUCGUCCACGCUGGCAGUGUGGGUGACGUGGCCUAUCCAUCCCAGCGCCCCAGAGCUUGCCAGCCACAAGAGACAGUUUGGCUCUGUCUGCCACCAGGAUCCCAGGGUAUGUGAUGAGCCCUCCUGGGAAGACCCCCAUGAAUGGCCAGAAGACAUCACCAAGUGGCCGAUCUGCACCAAAAACAGUGCCAGGAACCACACCAACCUUCCUCACAUGGACGGUGUCAUCACAGGGCGGUCCUGCUGCAUUGGCACCAAGGGCAAGUGUGAGAUCACCUCUCGGGAGUACUGCGACUUCGUGAUGGGCUAUUUCCAUGAGGAGGCCACGCUCUGCUCUCAGGUGCACUGCAUGGAUGAUGUGUGUGGGCUCCUGCCUUUCCUCAACCCUGAGGUGCCUGACCAGUUCUACCGCCUGUGGCUGUCCCUCUUCCUGCACACCAGGAUCCUGCACUGCCUGGUGUCCAUCUGCUUCCAAAUGACAGUCCUGCAGGACCUGGAGAAGCCGGCAGGGUGACACCACAUAGCCAUCAUCUAGCUGCUGAGUGGUGUCACUGGCAACCUGGCCAGUGCCAUCUUCCUGCUGUACCGAGAAGUGGUGAUUGCGGCUGGCUCCCAGUUUGGCAUCCUGGCCUGACUCUUCGUGGAGCUCUUCCAGAGCUGGCAGAUCCUGGAGUGGCCCUGGCAUGCCUUCUUCAAGCUGCUGGCUGUGGUGCUCUUCCUCUUCACCUUUGGGCUGCUGCCCUGGAUCGACAACUUUGCCCACACCUCGGGGUUCAUCAGUGGCCUCUUCCUCUCCUUCGCCUUCUAGCCCUACAUCAGCUUCGGCAAGUUCAAUCUGUACCAGAAAUGCUGCCAGAUCAUCAUCUUUCAGGUGGUCUUCCUGGGCCUCCUGGCUGGCCUGGUGGUCCUCUUCUACUUCUAUCCUGUUCGCUGUGAGUGGUGUGUUCCUCACCUGCAUCCCCUUCACUGACAGGUUCUUCGAGAAGUACGAACUGGACGCUCAGCUCCAGCGAGCUGGCUGUGGGCUCCAGGGACCAUGUGCUCCAGCAGGCGAGAGCCAGACACAACAACCCUGAGCCUCACAGGCUUACAGGAGUCACCUGCUCCAUGUGGGGACUGGCCUGUUUCCUAAAGACAGACCUCUUGUGCCUUGUUCACGUCCUCGUACUGCCGGGCAUUUAUUAUACUACUUCCUGUGAUAAUCUUCUAACUUGUCUCUUGACGACCACCUCAUGCGGCCAAUAAAUGGACUGGGAGCGUUUUAGAAAAAAAAAAGUUCCACUGCGUGAAUAUGCCACCAUUGUUAUUGAUCUCUUCUACUGUGGUUGGACUUGCAGUUUGUUUCAAUUUUUGACUUUUAUGGAAAAUGCUGCUGUGAAUACUCUGGUGCCUAAACAUGUCUGUGGUACCUAAAUGCAUACAUUUCUGUUGAGUAUAUACCAUCAAGUGGAAUCACCAGCUCAUAGGAUAUGCAUAUAUUUAACAGCUUUAUUGAGAUAUAUUUUAGAAUGUACAUAUCUUGAAAUUUUAAUGGAUACUGUCAAACACCUUUCCACAGUAGCUGUACCACUUUA